UACGUAGGCAGCGAGCGUUGUUCGGAGUUACUGGGCGUAAAGGGUGUGUAGGCGGUUGUUUAAGUUUGGUGUGAAAUCUCCCGGCUUAACCGGGAGGGUGCGCCGAAUACUGAAUGACUAGAGUGCGGGAGAGGUGAGUGGAAUUCCUGGUGUAGCGGUGAAAUGCGUAGAUAUCAGGAGGAACACCGGUGGUGUAGACGGCUCUCUGGACCGUAACUGACGCUGAGACACGAAAGCGUGGGUAGCAAACAGG
rnacentral:rRNA from 1 species